ensembl:lncRNA
AGUAACACUGUCUGCUGCUGCUCAAUAUAGCUGUCUCCUGGCCUACACUCCUGAACCUAUUGCCAUACAUGCAUAUAAGCCUCUGACUGUUGGUGCCAAGAACCCUGAGGGAGUUGGUUUCUCUCUUGCAGCUGACAGGCUUUGUCAGAUGGGCCAUCACAUUUGGGUCUCCAGCUUCUGAUCCCAGUCUGCAGGUGGCAAAGAAAUGAACAUGGCAUGCACAGUGCAUGCAAGGUGCACUCCAGACUCAGCCUGCUCAGAAAUUCAAUAUGACAGCCUAGACUCGCUUUCCCAAGGCCUUUUUUAUACCAUGUUUGCACCCCUAUACUGCCUACAGCCUGAUGAAGAAAUACUCCAUUAGCUUUCAUUUAACUAGCAGGGACAGUAACAGCAGCCCAAACAGAGGUGUGCAGAGGUGAGGUCGCACCAGUUUUAGGUCUGAGUGAUAUCCAGCCACUGACUGCUGUAGCUGCUCUGAUCAUGCUUCUUGCAAUAAGCAAGAUUAGACUCUGGAGAUCUAGAACUGUCUUCAAAGAACAGUGAUGUUGGUACCCCGUUUUUCUAGGCAGAUAAAACUGAGCAGGAAGAUGCGUAUCUCAUUCUCACACUUGGGAGAAGGUCAGGAGCCAGCACUGGUGGUGUGGCUGGGAGGGAAGGAGAAAGAUCCACGUGGGGCACAGAUACAGAACUGCAGGUUCUCAGAUCGGGCAGGAUCUCAGAAACGGGCACUGACCCUCAGCUGGUCACCACCAUUGUUGCCAUGCUUCUACAUGUACCCUUCCUCUCACCUUUGAUCCCCAUAUCACACAUCUGUGGCUAAAGCCUAGGUCCAGUCCAUCCUCCUGCAACAUCCAAUACAGAGCAACCUCCUUGGAGACACCUGUUCCCAGUAUUACCUACUUCACAUCCUGUGCCACAAGGGUAGAACAUACAUAUGCAUAGGUUGGGGAUGGAGCAAACAACCUGGUGCCAGCUAUUAGGGACGUUUAGAGGCUCAGUGAUUUUCACUUUUCUGUAAUGCUUGUAGAUAAGCCUACAAGGAAACUCCAAUUAUGCUUUUCUUGGCAAGGGAGCACUACAGAAUAUAAAUUAUUUACUAACUCUUUUAGAUGCUUUAAUCAAUACUUUAUCAAUUAUUAUUACCAGUGUGAAUAAUGCCUGUGAUCCUUCAUAAGCAAAGUGCUUAACUGCAUGCCUAAACUCAAUGCAUUUUGUCUAAUUUAAUCCCUGCCACAGGCAAUUUCUUACAAACAUCAAGCAAACUGGGGCCCUAGGGCCUGUACUGUGAGAUAAUAGAUCCUACAGUUCCAAGCUAGCCAAAAUGAUUGUUGAUGAAACGUUAGUUUUGAUCUGAGUGAUAUCUCUCCUAUUGAAAACUGAUGACUGUUUAUUUUGUCAUCAUUAAUAAUGGACAAAAAUUAAAUGAUCCUUUUUUUUUUUCCAAAUCCUUCUGAAAAUAUUUGUUUCUUUAAUAGCUUAAGAAAGUAAAUUUUUCUAAUAAAAAUAUUUUCUGAGCAAAAUGAACGAUUGGAAAGUAUUUUGUCACUUUUUAUAGUGCAAACCUUGUAACUAGUAUUUUCAUACAGAUGUAUCUUUUCAGCCAACUGAAAGAUGAAAGUUGAAAAGUUGAAACUUGAAAGUUUCUUGAAACAUACUUCUCUCCAUGAAGUCAUCACUUACGUCCUAUACUUUUAUUAUUAUUAUUAUUAUUAAUAAAUGUUGAGAUUUUUCCAGUGGUCAAUUGUUCACUUAAAACAAGAUCUCUAUGUAUUUUAGAUUAACCUGGCUGUCUUUUAACUUCAUGUGACUCAGUCUCACAUGACAAGGUGAUUGUUAACAUCCUUGUUUUGGUUGUGUCAUUCCGUAAUAAAAAGAUACCUUCAAAGGUACUUAAAAAUUAUACCAUCUGACAGAAACCCUUUCCAUUCCUCUCUUCCACAAAAGAUAGUAAAUUCAGUUAAAAAGUCAAUCUCUAUGAAUAAUUAAUUAUUCCUCCAGCUUUCUGAUUGACAUGUGCCAUUACAUGACUCUUGGAUAUUAGAAGAGCCUUAAAAGUGAAUUUUAAUCCUCCUGAAGAAUCAUCACUUCUUCAUCAUACAAGAAGACUGAAUUAUCAUAUCAAAGUCUUUUAAAAAGGUUGUCUGGAAAUUAGAGAACUGCAGUGAUUAACCAGUUUUUGCUAAUAUUUUUUUCUCUGUCAUUCUCGAUAGGUGAGCAUAAGGACUCCAUGAUUUUAAAUAAUUUGCUAAAAUAAAAUUUAAUGACAUCAAGUAUCUGAAGCUUCUUUUAACUUCUUGAAUCCUCUGAAUCUUCUUUGUCCCAAAAUAGCCUAGAGGUUGGUCACAUGCAUGCUAUAUUUGUCAUGACCCUUUGAGCAACAGAAGAACAUUCUGACUGACAGCUGUUCCAAGUAAUAAAAUGUCUGCAGGUGAUCAAGGAUAAUACACAGAGG